UAACCUGACUACUUCCUCUCGGGUCACGCGGCCGCGGGCAGCAGCCUCUCUAUAAUAAAGCAGGAAAAACUGAGAUAAAAGCUGAUUUUUGUGGUAAAAACGUGAUAAACUCGGCAGUUUUAGCAACUUAAGCCCUUGUUUACCUAAACCGCUGAGCUGUGGGAGCGGAGAGGCGCUGCGCGGCGGAGCGGGAAGCGUUAUUAACGGGAAGAUACGGGGUUUCACACAGAUUGUUGAGAAGAUCUUCAGAGAGUUGGGAGGAAAUGCUCACCUUUUCCACAGACUGGACCUCUUUCACAUUCUCACAUCCAACUGGUAAUUGAUGGGACAUGUAAUGGUGAGGUUUCGUUGCUGAGUGGUGGUGGGGAGGAUGGCUAACUAAGUUAAGUAAAGCUAAGGAACAUGGUGAUUGUGGAGGAACACACUCUCCGGAUGAUCUGCAAGAAGCUCCCUCGACUGGCUUGGCCGAUCGAGGUCCUCAGCUUGUGGCAUUUGCCUCCUCCAGCACUGAGUAAACAGCUAAGUGUGGUUUUCUCAUUGUUGCACAUACACUAACAAUUGAAUGUUAAUUUACAUAGUAAAUUAAUAGUGAAGUGGUCUAUCAGAUUAUGAAGGAACUUAAAAACAGUGUUAAACAAACCAAAAUACUCUGUGAAGAAGCAUUUACUCUGAUGAGCUUGAGUCCUGAUGAGUGCCAGUUUAAUCAUUAUAACAUUUUUGAUGGUCUUUUUUGCAGUGACUGCACUUGAGUUUACUUUCAAAGUUCUUGAAAUUGGCUGACCUUCAUUUUUGCAUUGUUAUUUUUUUGUCUUCAUUUAGUUGAGUAGUUUUUGCUUCUCAUAAUCUGGAUUCGAACAUUACUCAAAUAUUCACUAUUCACUGUUUACCUGUAACUCUACCUCUUCACUACUUUACUUUAACUGAUGCUCUCAAACUUUAACAUUAAGAGACAAGAAAUUAUAGUAAUUAACCCUUGAUGAGUUUAGCACAGCUGUUAACUGAAAGCCUGAAUUCCAGGUGAUUCUUCCUCAUAAAACUGAGAAAAUCCAGCAGAGAUGUUCAAAACUGAUCAUCUAAACAAGAGGAGCCUAGUUUGAAGAAUCUAAAAUAUAAAUUCUGGUUUGUUUAACAAUUUUUUUCUGUUUACUAAAUAAUUCUGUAUGUUUUUCUUUAUAGUUUGGAUGACUUUAGUAUUAACCCUCCUGUUGUGUUUAUUUAUCAGGAACAGUAAUGGUGUUCCUGGGUAAGUUAGACCCUGUGCAUGUUUAACUUUCCAAAAGAGAAACCAAACAUAUUCCUAACAAGCAGUGUUACUAAUUAUUCUCUCAAUAUUUAGUGUAAUGGUGUUCCUUACCUCUAACAGGUAAUGCUUCAAUUAGGAUAAUUCACUCAUUUUCAUAAAAAAAUACGUUUACAAUUUUUUUUUUUUUACUGUUUCACUAUUUUAAUACUUUUAAAAGACCAACAUUUAAAACACAGUUUUACAUAACAUUGCACUUUUGCUUUAGUAUUUGUUUAUGGCGGGUAGUGCUGGGCGAAAAUUGCGUUGCAAAACCACAUUAUGAAGCUUUUUUUGUGAAGAUUAUUUAUCAUCACUUAUAUAAACCGAGUUUAUGCAAAGUGACCACGUCAAUACAUUUCAUCAUAGCUUACUUUAUAUAUUUGCAUGAAUAAUUGAUGAAAUUACUGUAGAAACGAUAGAAGGUAAGAGACACUUUUCUAUUGUCCAUCAUAUUUAUUAUCAUAUAGUAGUACAGCACUAAUGGUGGGGGUUACAAAGAUGUAAGACGAACCAUUUUUAUAUUAUAUGUUGAUUCCACUAAUUAUGGCAAGCGGAACAAGUUUUAUACUGGAAAAAAUACUUUUGUUUUUGUUUCUAUAUCUUCAAAUUUUUUAAACGGGUCAAUUUAACCUGAAACACAACAGGAGGGUUAAUCUGCUAUGCAGAAUAUUCUAAAAUAAUGAAGAAAGACUGAAUUUAACUUAUGACUGGUACCGUAUCUCUAACAGUGUACCUCUCGCUAAACUCCAGCACCUUCAGUUCAGCUCCAGCUGUGAUCUAAAGAGCCCUGCAGCUCCUUUAAUGUAAACUGCUGAGAGAAAAUGAAUACAUUUCAGCAGGAGAGAGAAACCAAGCCGAGCUGAAAGAGCGAUUCCUGCGUUUCCCCAGAGUGGAGGUGAGGGUCAGCCAUCGAUUGCACUUUGAAGUGAAGGGAGGCAUCAGGAGCACAUCGGCAGUGAUUCACAUCAGACGGACGAAAGCAGCACAGCACAGGCGCGCUGCAUCAGCAGCAGGUUUAAAAAUACAUACAUUGAGUUUAUUUAAGUCAGUAGUGAAUUUGGAACAGUCAACAAUUUAUUGAAACCUAAGGUUACAACAUUACAAAUUCUAUACAAUGAUAGUACAGUGGGAGUUAGUUGUGUACACUCCAAAAAAUAAAAAUAAAAAAAAUAACAAAAAUAAAGAAAAGGCAGAAGGAAUGGAAAAAACAAAAACAAAACACCCAUAUAAAUCAAUAAAUCAGUAAAGUAUCGCACUUCCUAAGAAGUACUUUUAUACAGUCCCUGUCCUUGAAAAUCCUAAAAGCCCUUUUUUUUGUCUGUUUGGAAUAAAAAUGCCAGUUAAUUCGAUGCAAAGUUAAUAUUAAUACAAAAAGGCCACAAUAAAUUGACCUCACUUCUGAAACAAAAAAAGAAAAAUAGAGUAACAAUAAAAUACAAAUCAUAUAUAUACAAACCUCUGUACAUAUCUGUGUGUGUAUAUAUUGAGGAGAGGAGCAAAACAUAUCUCUUAUCACAAUCAAUCAAUCACAAAAGCAAAAAGUAGCAAAUAAGAAAGAGAAUGUAUAAAUGUAUGUGUAAAAAAAAAUGUAGGAAAGAAAGAACGAAAACAUGAAAUUAUAAAUCGGAAAGAUUCUAAUUCUGAUUAUUUAUGUAACAAGGAAAAAAAACCCUAUAAGCUUUGGAAAGUGAGUUGAGUUUGACUCGACUCGAGUUGGUCGCAUGUCUUGGUCAUAAAAGCUGAGAUUGGAUUGGAGGAAGAGAAGAAAUAAAAAGAAAGAAAAGAAAUUGAAAGACUGAAGAAAGAAAAAGAGCAUGUCUCAAUAAAUCUCGACUCAUCUCAACUCUAUCAGCACACUGGAGAAAAGAAGGAGAAGGACAAUCUGGAACUGCAGGCUGAUAAAUUGUCUGGGCAGGAGCCGCCGCCGUGUUCAGCAGGAGGAUGAGUCCAGGCGUGAUUUGUUGGCGGUAGCCGCCGCCGCAUGCUUCACCAGAGCGUUUUGGUUUUACAGGCCGGCGGAGGUGAGAAAUAGAUGAUAUAUAUUGUACCUGGCACUGACACUUGGGAUGAGGCUUUGACUAAUAAUGAGUGGGUGAGAGACAGAGUCCCUGGACAGGUCAGCCUUGUCCUUCAGCGUGGAGAUUAUGAGAGCGCUCUGCUGAACUCUUCAUUCUGUCACACUGUCAGAGAGGGUGAACCCAAAUCACAGGAGCUAAAGCUCUGGAGGGAGGAAUGCUGAGCUUUCUGUCCAAAUCUAUUCACCCGUUUUCUCCUCGGCACUCACUGGACGAUCCCUGAGUCGAUGGACGCCUGCUUCCUCGUGGUCUUCGGUGGGGGUGGAGGAGGCGUCUUGCUCGGCAGUGGAGGAGGAAGGUGCUGCAGAGAGGAGAAGAGAGCACUUCAGUUUCUGAAUCAGUUUCUCUGAUUUUGCUAUUUAUAGGUAUAUAUUUGAGUAAAAUGAACAUUGUUGUUUUAUUCUAUAAACUACAGACAUUUCUCCCAAAUUACAAAUAAAAAUAUUCUCAUUUAGAGCAUUUAUUUACAGAAAAUGAGAAAUGUCUGAAAUAAUAGAAAAGAUGCAGAGCUUUCAGAGUAUAGCUGCAUGAUAUUAGAAAAAUUUCACAUUGCAAAAUGUUCUUUUUUUUUUCAACAAUCUAUAUCUCGAAAUUAAACAACAAGGCCCAUGACAACACCAGCCCCUCCCCGUUCGUGAGUUUCACGCCUGGGCCAAUCAAGAGCUGAUCCAGCGCUGAGCUCUCAAAACCCAAGGAAAACAGCAAAACAAAAGGCUCGUCUCGGUCCAGCUUGUCCUGAGAUUUGAAGUGCUGCUUCUUGGGCAGGAGUGGUUCCAGGGCAAAGCUGUUGAAAACACAUGAAGGGAGAAGAGGAGGCCGAAGGGAACGUGAGCCAGAGAGCGGAAAAACGUAUUGGCAUGAAAACAUGGAAAAAUACGAUGUAAAAUUUGAGCGAUGAUGAAAAGAGAAAGAUGGGAAGAAGAAGAAGAAGAAGAGGAGUGAUGAGAGGAGGAAGUGUGUGGGAGGGGAGGAGAUUGGAGAGACAGGGCACAUGUCAGAGCGAUCUUUAAUAUCACACUGACACACAUGUAAAAUGAAGAGCUAAAGGAAAUGAGUUGCUGGCGUUUGUUCUGGAGCGAUGACGGAAAUAGAAAUAUGGCAUAUAGAGAUGCAGGGUGUCAUGGCAACUCUAUACGGAUGUUGGAGCUUAAAGGAAUUUCAUUCAUGAAGGACAUUUAACUAAUAACAAUUCUAACAAGAUUAUUACUAGACUAUUAGAUUAUAUUAGAUUAGAUUAUUACUAGAUUACUAGACUAUUACUAGAUUACUAGACUAUUACUAGACCUCUAUACAGGUUCUAUUUAUACUGUCACUCCAUCUCAAUCACCAUCAAUAUUGCACUAUUGCCCUUGUCUUACAUAUGAUUAUUGUGUCUUGUUGUAUUUUACAUAUAGUGUCUCCCACUCUUUUAUAUAUCUUAUUUAUUUUUAUUUAUAUAUAUAAAUAGGAGAGUAACGUAAUUUUAAUUCUCUGUGUGUCCUGUACAUAUGCAGUAUUGACAAUAAAACUACUUGACUUGA